AUUGAACGCUGGCGGCAUGCUUUACACAUGCAAGUCGAACGGCAGCGCGGGCUUCGGCCUGGCGGCGAGUGGCGAACGGGUGAGUAAUACAUCGGAACGUGCCCAGUAGUGGGGGAUAGCUCGGCGAAAGCCGGAUUAAUACCGCAUACGACCUGAGGGUGAAAGCGGGGGAUCUUCGGACCUCGCGCUAUUGGAGCGGCCGAUGGCAGAUUAGCUAGUUGGUGGGGUAAAGGCCUACCAAGGCGACGAUCUGUAGCUGGUCUGAGAGGAGGACCAGCCACACUGGGACUGAGACACGGCCCAGACUCCUACGGGAGGCAGCAGUGGGGAAUUUUGGACAAUGGGGGAAAGCCUGAUCCAGCAAGGCCGCGUGUGUGAUGAAGGCCUUCGGGUUGUAAAGCACUUUUGGCGGGAACGAAAAGGACUGUGCCAAUACCACGGUUCGAUGACGGUACCCGAAGAAUAGGCACCGGCUAACUACGUG
rnacentral:rRNA from 1 species